GGUUUAAUUCGAUGAUACGCGGGGAACCUUACCCGGGCUUGAACUGCAGGAGAACGAUUCAGAGAUGAUGAGGUCCUUCGGGACUCCUGUGGAGGUGCUGCAUGGUUGUCGUCAGCUCGUGCCGUGAGGUGUCGGCUUAAGUGCCAUAACGAGCGCAACCCCUCUCCGUAGUUGCCAUCGGGUGAUGCCGGGCACUCUGCGGACACUGCCACCGUAAGGUGUGA
rnacentral:rRNA from 1 species